UGACGGCGGACAUCGGCAUAGCUAUUUUCAUUCUUUUUUAAUCAAAAUCCAUGUGGCACAUCUAUGCCAAUGGCCAGGCGGUUGGCAUACAUAUUAUACGUAUCUUUGUUUUUAUUUUAUAUUUUAUACAUAUUAUACAUAUUAUGGCCAGGCAGGAAAAUGCCGCCCGCCCUAGAGGUGGUGAGACACCCCUGGUCGUCGUACCACUCCCUAGUCACCGCAUGGACUGAAUUUCUCCACCUCCGGCGCAAAACCGUCCGCUGAAUCGCCAAAUAGAUCGUCACCUCACUUGAUUUGGAGUGGGGAAAGGAGAAUCGGAGGAGCCGAGCGAAUUGUUGUUGUGGUUUCGAAAUGCUCGCCCCUGGUGAGGAGAGGUGGACGCAAUGAAGAGGGGAAGUUAUGGGUUUUAAAAAAAAUCUGAAAAUUUGAAAAUAAAUAUGCAAGUAAAGAAAGAUGUUAUGUUUAUGUGUGUAAAUUUUUAAGAUGAAAUACCUUGAAAUACUGUCUACACAAAAAAGAAAAAUUCAUAGCCUAGAAUUGUUGAACAUAUCACGCAUCAUCACUAAAGGAAUCAGUCAUUUUACCGUCAGGACGCUACAGACGACAAAAAAUUGCCGUCAGCCAUGACGGCAAAUAAUGCCAACGUCCACCAUGCCCGCAAAGGGUAGUUUUACCGUCAACGUAUGCGAGAGCAGACGGCAAAAAAAUGCCGUUAGUGAAAUUAUUUUGCUGUUGGCAGGAUCGGUAGACGACAAAAAAUUGGUACCAGACGGAACGUCCAGCCGGACAAACGACGUUAGUCCUUUUUGCCGUCAGCCCAUGGUAGUCCUGGACUGCAAAACCCCCAUUUUCUGCCCUCAUCAACAGAAACUUCAGACGGCAAAACACCCCAGAUUUUAUAGAAAAUAUCAAAGUUGUCCAGAGGGAAACGAACUGACGAGGAAAACCACGAUAUCCGUGAGCACUGCUGUUCCAAGAAUCAACAACGAAGGAAAUAAUUUCACUAUACAGAAAUAUUCAUCAUCACUUGCUGAUCCAAAACAAAACUACUCCGUUUAAAAAGAUGAGCGUAUUACACAAGAACGGAUUACACUGCAGUGUACAUAGUUCGAUCUGGAGUACACCGACGCGCCAACGACGCCUGAGGAGCUCAAACCGUCCGCCGCCUCGCCGGAGCUCGCCAACCUCGUCCGAUCGCUGGAUCCAUUGGACCCCGCCAGCUCCGUCGACACCAAGCCCCGCCGCCGACAGAGGAAAGCAGAAGAGGCGUAGGCCCGCGACACGGGAAGGCGGCGACACAGGAGAGCAACAGAGACCGAGGCAGGCGCCUACGGGUGGUGGGAGGCAGGCGGCAUCCGAAGUCGAGCAUCGUGCUGAGUACACCGAUGGCUUCUCGGGGCGAUGGGGACGGGUCGAAGAAGGGAACGGGUCGUGACCGGUGGUGCUAGGGAGCAGGUGCAAGACAGAUAGAUGGAUGCGGCAUUUUUCCAGCGGUGUUGCGAGACUAGACUACUAUAGACAGGCAGAGCUGCUUGCAUGAUAAAAUAAAUCGGUGUCUUCUGUUAUUAUUGUUGCAAGAGAGAAAAUUAAGAGUUAGCACGAAGAUAACACUAGUAGAAAACACGGCUUUAGUUCUGGCCAGAUAAAAGCUGAGGUUGCCACACCUCUUCUGACAGCCGGCCAGGGAGGGAAGAUCACUCCUGUUCCCGGCCUGGCUUCCUUGCACGCCAGCGGAUGCUCGCACCGUUGCCAUCCAUAACAACAGCGGCGCGAGCAAGCAGAGGCGCCUCAUCGUCUUCAUCACAGUAUUUGUGGGAAAAAUGGUGUAUUAAGCUUUAGGUGUCUCGCUGCUUUAGCUUCCAGCAUUGGUACUCUUGCAUAUUUAUGUACCUGUCCAGUAUCACCAUUUUCAAACGGAAUUGUACACUCGUAUUCCAUUUUCUAACGGAAUUACACG
rnacentral:lncRNA from 1 species